GCUUAGCCCUAAACACAGAUAAUUCCAAAAACAAAAMUAUUCGCCAGAGUACUACUAGCAACAGCUUAAAACUCAAAGGACUUGGCGGUGCUYCAUACCCCUCUAGAGGAGCCUGUUCUAUAAUCGAUAAACCCCGAUAAACCUCACCAACCCUUGCUAAUCCAGUCUAUAUACCGCCAUCUCCAGCAAACCCUAAAAAGGACUAAAAGUAAGCUCAACUAUUACACAUAAAGACGUUAGGUCAAGGUGUAACCUAUGGGCUGGGAAGAAAUGGGCUACAUUUUCUAGAACAAGAACACAACCCACCCGAACGAAAACUCCUAUGAAAGCUAGGAACUAAAGGAGGAUUUAGUAGUAAAUCAAGAGUAGAGUGCUUGAUUGAACAAGGCCAUGAAG
rnacentral:rRNA from 1 species